rnacentral:rRNA from 1 species
GAUGAACGCUGGCGGCGUGCUUAACACAUGCAAGUCGAACGGGAAAUAUUUCAUUGAGACUUCGGUGGAUUUGAUUUAUUUCUAGUGGCGGACGGGUGAGUAACGCGUGGGUAACCUGCCUUAUACAGGGGGAUAACAGUCAGAAAUGGCUGCUAAUACCGCAUAAGCGCACAGAGCUGCAUGGCUCAGUGUGAAAAACUCCGGUGGUAUAAGAUGGACCCGCGUUGGAUUAGCUAGUUGGUGGGGUAACGGCCCACCAAGGCGACGAUCCAUAGCCGGCCUGAGAGGGUGAACGGCCACAUUGGGACUGAGACACGGCCCAGACUCCUACGGGAGGCAGCAGUGGGGAAUAUUGCACAAUGGGGGAAACCCUGAUGCAGCGACGCCGCGUGAAGGAAGAAGUAUCUCGGUAUGUAAACUUCUAUCAGCAGCGAAGAUAGUGACGGUACCUGACUAAGAAGCCCCGGCUAACUACGUG